rnacentral:piRNA from 1 species
UAUACACAUGAUUAAUUUUUA